rnacentral:lncRNA from 1 species
CUGGAACUCCAGCCCUCCGAGGCCAUGGCUGGGGACCCUGGUGACUCUUGUCCCCCACAGUUGACCCCAACAAGGAGCGACGUGAGGCUGUGAAGCUGAAAAUUACCAAAUACCUGCGGCGGGCAGAGGAGAUCUUCAACUGCCACCUGCAGCGGCCGCUGAGCAGUGGAGCCAGCCCCAGCGCGGUGAGGAGACCCCCCCGCCCAAAGGCCUGAGCGGGAGGAGGGCUCUGAGGGGAGACUGCAGAAGCCCUAAACCAGUAAGUGUUCAGUGAGGGUGGAAAAUGCACGUGCGCUUCUUACCCCACGGUUGCGCGUACUCACACAGCCCUCCUUGGCUCACUGCAUCCUGUACGGCUGCCUUUCCCCAAAGUAGGUGCUUGGUCUUCAAGGCACGUUCCCUGAGACUCACACGUUCCCAGGUUACUUCCCUAUCCCCACCUUGGGAGCAUCUGCAUCUUUUGAGAUGGAGUCUCGCUUUGUCACCCAGGCUGGAGUGCAGUGGCGCGAACUCGGCUCACUGCAAGCUCCGCCUCCCGGGUUCACG